rnacentral:tRNA from 1 species
GGGGUUGUGGCUCAGCGGUAGAGCACUUGCCUUGCAAGUGUAAGACCUUGGGUUUGAGCCUCAGCAUCACUU